AGCACAUCUCGUUGAAUUUUGUUAGUUGCUCUUUAACAAAAUUUGUAGAUGAGUGCUAAAAGUAAGCCCUCUCUUGCAACCCACAGCUGAUUCAUUACAUAAGUUGUGUUACUAACUAAGAGGGACAAC